UGCAGGGUGGCGUAGUUGGUAGCACUGUUUCCUUGGAGCAAGAAGGUCCUGGGUUUGAUUCCCGGCCUGGGGUCUUUGUGCAU